rnacentral:rRNA from 1 species
AAGUGAAACAUCUCAGUACCCUUAGGAAAAGAAAUCAAUUGAGAUUCCCUCAGUAGCGGCGAGCGAACGGGGAUCAGCCCAUUAAGUUAUGUGUGUUUUAGUGGAACGCUCUGGGAAGUGCGAACGUAGAGGGUGAUAUUCCCGUACACGAAAGGGCACACAUAAUGAUGACGAGUAGGGCGAGGCACGUGAAACCUUGUCUGAAUAUGGGGGGACCAUCCUCCAAGGCUAAAUACUCCUGACUGACCGAUAGUGAACCAGUACCGUGAGGGAAAGGCGAAAAGAACCCCUGUGAGGGGAGUGAAAUAGAUCCUGAAACCGCAUGCAUACAAGCAGUGGGAGCACCUUCGUGGUGUGACUGCGUACCUUUUGUAUAAUGGGUCAGCGACUUAUAUUCAGUAGCGAGGUUAACCGUAUAGGGGAGCCGUAGAGAAAUCGAGUCUUAAUAGGGCGUUUAGUUGCUGGGUAUAGACCCGAAACCAGGCGAUCUAUCCAUGAGCAGGUUGAAGGUUGGGUAACACUAACUGGAGGACCGAACCCACUGUCGUUGAAAAGCCAGGGGAUGACUUGUGGAUAGGGGUGAAAGGCUAAUCAAGCCUGGUGAUAGCUGGUUCUCCCCGAAAGCUAUUUAGGUAGCGCCUCGGACGAAUACCAUAGGGGGUAGAGCACUGUUUCGGCUAGGGGGUCAUCCCGACUUACCAAACCGAUGCAAACUCCGAAUACCUAUGAGUACUAUCCGGGAGACAGACUGCGGGUGCUAACGUCCGUAGUCAAGAGGAAAACAAUCCAGACCGCCAGCUAAGGCCCCAAAAUCAUAGUUAAGUGGGAAACGAUGUGGGAAGGCAUAGACAGCUAGGAGGUUGGCUUAGAAGCAGCCACCCUUUAAAGAAAGCGUAAUAGCUCACUAGUCGAGUCGGCCUGCGCGGAAGAUGUAACGGGGCUAAAACUAUGUGCCGAAGCUGCGGAUGUAUACUUUGUAUACGUGGUAGGGGAGCGUUCUGUAAGCCGAUGAAGGUGUGUUGAGAAGCAUGCUGGAGGUAUCAGAAGUGCGAAUGCUGACGUGAGUAACGACAAAACGGGUGAAAAACCCGUUCGCCGAAAGACCAAGGGUUCCAGUCCAACGUUAAUCGGGGCUGGGUGAGUCGACCCCUAAGGCGAGGCCGAAAGGCGUAGUCGAUGGGAAAAUGGUUAAUAUUCCAUUACUUCUGUGUAAUGCGAUGAGAGGACGGAGAAGGCUAAAUCAGCCUGGCGUUGGUUGUCCAGGUGAAAGGAUGUAGGCAUGUAUCUUAGGCAAAUCCGGGGUACUCUAUGCUGAGAUCUGAUAGCAAGCUGUACUUGUACAGCGAAGUGGUUGAUGCCAUGCUUCCAGGAAAAGUCUCUAAGCUUCAGUUACACAGGAAUCGUACCCGAAACCGACACAGGUGGUCAGGUCGAGUAGACCAAGGCGCUUGAGAGAACUCUGCUGAAGGAACUAGGCAAAAUGGUACCGUAACUUCGGGAGAAGGUACGCUGUUGUUGGUGAUGGAACUCGCUUCCUGAGCUGACGACAGCCGCAGAAACCAGGCCGCUGCAACUGUUUAUUAAAAACAUAGCACUCUGCAAACACGAAAGUGGACGUAUAGGGUGUGAUGCCUGCCCGGUGCUGGAAGGUUAAUUGAUGGGGUUAGCGUAAGCGAAGCUCUUGAUCGAAGCCCCAGUAAACGGCGGCCGUAACUAUAACGGUCCUAAGGUAGCGAAAUUCCUUGUCGGGUAAGUUCCGACCUGCACGAAUGGCAUAAUGAUGGCGGCGCUGUCUCCAGCAGAGGCUCAGUGAAAUCGAAAUCGCUGUGAAGAUGCAGUGUACCCGCGGCUAGACGGAAAGACCCCGUGAACCUUUACUGCAGCUUGACACUGAACUUUGACCUUACUUGUGUAGGAUAGGUGGGAGGCUUUGAAGCUGGAACGCUAGUUCCAGUGGAGCCGUCCUUGAAAUACCACCCUGGUAAUGUUGAGGUUCUAACUCUGUCCCGUGAUCCGGGACGAGGACCGUGUCUGGUGGGUAGUUUGACUGGGGCGGUCUCCUCCUAAAGAGUAACGGAGGAGUACGAAGGUGCGCUCAGCGUGGUCGGAAAUCACGCGUAGAGUAUAAAGGCAAAAGCGCGCUUAACUGCGAGACCCACAAGUCGAGCAGGUACGAAAGUAGGUCUUAGUGAUCCGGUGGUUCUGUAUGGAAGGGCCAUCGCUCAACGGAUAAAAGGUACUCUGGGGAUAACAGGCUGAUACCGCCCAAGAGUUCAUAUCGACGGCGGUGUUUGGCACCUCGAUG